UACAUGUGGGGCAAGCGUUGUUCGGAAUCACUGGGCGUAAAGGGUGCGUAGGCGGGUCUUUAAGUCAGGGGUGAAAUCCUGGAGCUCAACUCCAGAACUGCCUUUGAUACUGAAGAUCUUGAGUCCGGGAGAGGUGAGUGGAACUGCGAGUGUAGAGGUGAAAUUCGUAGAUAUUCGCAAGAACACCAGUGGCGAAGGCGGCUCACUGGCCCGGUACUGACGCUGAGGCACGAAAGCGUGGGGAGCAAACAGG
rnacentral:rRNA from 1 species